GUGCUUACUUUGGCAGCACAUAUACUAAAAUUGGAAUGAUACAUGGAAGAUUAGCAUGGCCCCCCACUCAAGAAUGACAUACAAAUAUUGCCAUUUCUGCAAAUAUGC